GUGAGUUGCAGACUUAGAUGGUGUAUUGAGUUACCUUAGGCCUGCAAACCAGUGUGGUGGAAAUCACUGCAACAACCAUGAAGCAGUGUUAUGUUAAGCCAUGUGCAGGGGUGAUGUGAUAAUGAUCUAAUGUAUAUGUGGAUAUAUGGGUUGUCGCCACCAUGUCUCUAAAUGCAGAUAUUGGAAAUCAGAAUUGCAUGUGUUGUGUUAUGCAGCAAUUGUGCAAAGGUUGCUACAUAAAAUCAAUUUUUUUUCCCUCUCUUUUUCCCUUUCCUAUAGAACUCUAUUGAUGUUUGCAAGUUAUAUUCUGUAACAAUGAA